rnacentral:rRNA from 1 species
UAGGGAAUCUUCGGCAAUGGGGGGAACCCUGACCGAGCAACGCCGCGUGAGUGAAGAAGGUUUUCGGAUCGUAAAGCUCUGUUGUUAAGGAAGAACGAGUGUGAGAAUGGAAAGUUCAUACUGUGACGGUACUUAACCAGAAAGGGACGGCUAACUACGUGCCAGCAGCCGCGGUAAUACGUAGGUCCCGAGCGUUGUCCGGAUUUAUUGGGCGUAAAGCGAGCGCAGGCGGUUAGAUAAGUCUGAAGUUAAAGGCAGUGGCUCAACCAUUGUAGGCUUUGGAAACUGUUUAACUUGAGUGCAGAAGGGGAGAGUGGAAUUCCAUGUGUAGCGGUGAAAUGCGUAGAUAUGUGGAGGAACACCGGUGGCGAAAGCGGCUCUCUGGUCUGUAACUGACGCUGAGGCUCGAAAGCGUGGGGAGCGAACAGG